UAAUAAAAUAGUUUCAAAGUCAUUUAUUUUUGCUUCUAUUCUUAGUGCUUCGAUAGGAGUGGCUUGAAGGAUCCCAGUGACUGUGCAGAAACAUUUGUUUAUAUUGGCAUUUACUUUCUUGGUUUUGUCGAUGAGUAUCUUGAUAUGUCGAUUCCAAAGAAUGUUUUUUGUGAAGGUGAUUCCUAGGAUGAGGCUAUUAUGAAAAUGUCUGCGUAAAUUGAUAUGUGUUCUAUGCCUCUAAAGGAUCUUUGUUUAUCAAAAAGUAUUUCUACUCUUAGGAAGCAAAUAUAUUGUUCAAGGCGAAUUCAUAUAUGGUGGUGCUCAAGGCGAAUUCAGAUAAGGUGGUGGCAGUUCUGCAACAACAACAUUUUACAUGUAUUUUGGAUUACGUAGAUGUCAAAAACCAUAAGUA